GCCAGACUCCUACGGGAGGCAGCAGUGAGGAAUAUUGGUCAAUGGUCGGGAGACUGAACCAGCCAAGCCGCGUGGGGGAUGAAGGUACAGAGUAUCGUAAACCUUUUUUGUCAGGGAACAAAGGCGGGGACGUGUCCCCGGAUGAGUGUACCUGAAGAAAAAGCAUCGGCUAACUCCGUGCCAGCAGCCGCGGUAAUACGGAGGAUGCGAGCGUUAUCCGGAUUUAUUGGGUUUAAAGGGUGCGUAGGCGGAAUGCCAAGUCAGCGGUAAAAUCGCGGGGCUCAACCUCGCUCCGCCGUUGAAACUGCAUCCCUUGAGUGCGCGAGAAGUAUGCGGAAUGCGUGGUGUAGCGGUGAAAUGCAUAGAUAUCACGCAGAACUCCGAUUGCGAAGGCAGCAUACCGGCGCGCAACUGACGCUCAUGCACGAAAGCGUGGGUAUCGAACAGGAUUAGAUACCCCAGUAC
rnacentral:rRNA from 1 species